GGAGGGCCCCUCCAUUCAACGUUUAAAAGAGACGUGGAGACAGGUGUCCAGGAAGAACUGGCAAAUACUGAAAAACAUCAUCGAAACAUGCCACCAGGAGAGCAGGAAGCUUCUCAAGGAGGUUGACCGAGGGCCUCAACACACCCCGAGAGUCCAGAGGACAGGACAUUGGUCCGAGGUGUGUCUGGAGGAGGAGUGAAGGCCGGGGGCCAGGGCCUCUGGCUGGGAGGGGGA